rnacentral:rRNA from 1 species
UACGAAGGGGGCUAGCGUUGCUCGGAAUUACUGGGCGUAAAGCGCACGUAGGCGGCUUGUUAAGUCGGAGGUGAAAUCCUGGAGCUCAACUCCAGAACUGCCUUCGAUACUGGCGAGCUCGAGUCCGGGAGAGGUGAGUGGAACUGCGAGUGUAGAGGUGAAAUUCGUAGAUAUUCGCAAGAACACCAGUGGCGAAGGCGGCUCACUGGCCCGGUACUGACGCUGAGGAGCGAAAGCGUGGGGAGCAAACAGG